rnacentral:snoRNA from 1 species
UCCCUCCAGGUUCCUGACUCCUCAGAUCUGCAUUGUGGUCUGAGGGGCUAAAAGAGGAGGAAAAGUAAAACUGAAGUGGACCUGGAGUCUUUAGUGACAUACAAGUUCAUUUCCAACACAA